UUCAAAUGAAUUGACGGGGGCCCGCACAAGCGGUGGAGCAUGUGGUUUAAUUCGAUGCAACGCGAAGAACCUUACCUACUCUUGACAUCCAGAGAACUUAGCAGAGAUGCUUUGGUGCCUUCGGGAACUCUGAGACAGGUGCUGCAUGGCUGUCGUCAGCUCGUGUUGUGAAAUGUUGGGUUAAGUCCCGCAACGAGCGCAACCCUUAUCCUUUGUUGCCAGCGAUUCGGUCGGGAACUCAAAGGAGACUGCCAGUGAUAAACUGGAGGAAGGUGGGGAUGACGUCAAGUCAUCAUGGCCCUUACGAGUAGGGCUACACACGUGCUACAAUGGCAUAUACAAAGAGAAGCGACCUCGCGAGAGCAAGCGGACCUCAUAAAGUAUGUCGUAGUCCGGAUUGGAGUCUGCAACUCGACUCCAUGAAGUCGGAAUCGCUAGUAAUCGUGGAUCAGAAUGCCACGGUGAAUACGU
rnacentral:rRNA from 1 species